AUUUUACUAUGAAAUGUCUCAGUAAGUACCUGAUAAUUACAUAUUGUAAAGUGCUGAUAAUUACAUAUUGUAAAGUGCUAUCUACAAAGAGACAGCUCACCGUGGUAAACAAGUUAGGCUGUUCAGGCUACUUAUUAACCUGAUAGUCAUUCAGUUCUCAAGAAAUGAAACUAGAUUUCCUACGUAGGGUGUGGCUAAAGACUUCAGUUACAAAAAGGCUUUGUUUACACAGACAGCCUAAUUCUGAUAUUUUUGACCAAUCAGAUCAGCUCUGAAAAAGAUCUGAUGUGAAAAGGUCUGACGUUAUUGGUCAGAAGACCAACUAGUGGAAAAAAGAUCAGAAACGGGCUGCAAGUCUAAACACAGCCUUAAGGAUCAGAGUCAGUAUAUAUAGAUACAAACAUACGAUUGGGACAUUUCAGCUGCCAUACAGUGGGGAGACAUCAACUGAAGGCCGCCAAUCUGAAACUCUACUCUACAAUCAAGCGGCAAGUCUCCAAACAAAGUUAUUCACUCAUUGUGGAUUGACAAGAGCUAUCUACAUCUAUCAGACCGCAGAUCUUCCAUCAAGCAGCUAUGUCCAAACUUGGGGGAAAAAGGGAAAUGAAGGUGCGUUAUAAUGACAGAGGUGUAAAGGAGAACUUUUCCAGUGGAGAGCAUAAGAAUAUCGCCACAUUAAAACAAGAGAAGACCCUUUUAAACGAGGCAGGAAUAGCUAGAUACCUAUCAAAAGACAUAGCACCAUACCCAGAAGGACCAGAGUUCCAUCUGUCCAAAGUUGCCCAUGUCACUACAAAAAGAGGCCUUGAUGGAAUCUUGAAAUCAGGUGGAUUUAAGGGGGGUGAGAAGAGUUUCCUGUGGUGCAAUCUUCCUGUGGAUGAUGACGAUAUCAUUGCAGCAGAACGCCGUUACCUGGAGAAGAUCUUCCCUGACAGAACACCUGAGCAGAGGCAGAUACAGCAACCCUUCCUCAGCAAGUUCACCACCUCACCUGCCUUCAGGAAGGCAUCACGCUUUGGGAACUUCAGGUUCACUUUCAGUCUGUCUAAUUUCCUGAUGAUGUACAGUCAGCAGAUCUGUGGUGGAAAACAGCCUGUCCUGAGAGUGUAUGAGACUGUAGUCUACAAACAAGAGAUCAUGUACACAGUGCUUGUUCACAGUCCAGAUGAUAAGGAAUUUGAGAAGUACCCUGUUCUUGGUGAUGGUAGUGAUGAUGCUCUCUGUGCUUACAUGAGUGGCAACAUUGUCUGGCGUGCACAAGCCAUGUCUGAAACCCAUGCCUUUGGGUUAGCCAUAGAUGAAGUUAACCAAAAUGUAGGAACAGAAGGCGGGGGGAAUGCAUGGUACAUGUGGGACCAUGUGACCCUGGCAUUCCACCUGCCUGAAGGUCAGGCCCUACAUUUUGACAUGGAGAUUGUGAUCAAAAGCCUUACUACUUGUGAUGCCGAUAAAAUGUUUAUUGGAGUGAAAUGUCGCAGAAAAGGGCACGAGUGUGUGGGUACAUGUCCAUGUGGAAAAUGUCUCGUACCCCUCGCCACAGCUGAUGAAAUAGUUGAGGGCAUAUCAUGUGACCCUGGCAUUCCACCUGCCAGAAGGUCAGACCCUACAAGUUGA
rnacentral:lncRNA from 1 species